AGUUGGCGCGCAUGAAGUUCGUGAUGUGCGUGCGCUCCGGGCUGCGGCGCGGACAGUCCACCUUGAAUGGUACGGCAAUAUUUACCUUGGUCCAUACUUAGUAUGCGAAUCCAGUGAAUACGGAGCAUGAUGUAGGACCGGCUGCUGUGGUAUCUGCAGCGAGUGCUGAUGCAGCAAAUGCAGCGGCUUCUUCCUCAAGGCUGGCGAGUUGGUCCCUAGCCAGGGGUUGGUGCGGAUCCUGCUUCGAGGCCGCGGGGACGGAGUUGCACAUACUGGGGGUUCUGGGAUGUACUUGCGGCUUUGUACACUGGAGCGCCGCUGGAAUUUUAUGACAUAAUAUUGUGUAGAUACUCCGUUAUUGUAUUAAAAUAUAUUAGUUAUUUUAUAUAAAGCCUUUUAUCGGCUAAAAAAAAUGAUUAGUAAAUGCCGAAUAAUGAUUGUUUAAUAAAGCUAAAAUUGUUUAA